AGAGUUUGAUCAUGGCUCAGGAUGAACGCUGGCGGCGUGCUUAACACAUGCAAGUCGAACGAGAACCACCGGAUUGAGGAUUCGUCCAAAUGAAGGUGGGGAAAGUGGCGGACGGGUGAGUAACGCGUGAGCAAUCUGCCUUGGAGUGGGGAAUAACGGCUGGAAACAGCCGCUAAUACCGCAUGAAGCAGCUGGGAGGCAUCUCCCUGGCUGCCAAAGAUUUAUCGCUCUGAGAUGAGCUCGCGUCUGAUUAGCUGGUUGGCGGGGUAACGGCCCACCAAGGCGACGAUCAGUAGCCGGACUGAGAGGUUGGCCGGCCACAUUGGGACUGAGACACGGCCCAGACUCCUACGGGAGGCAGCAGUGGGGAAUAUUGGGCAAUGGGCGCAAGCCUGACCCAGCAACGCCGCGUGAAGGAAGAAGGCUUUCGGGUUGUAAACUUCUUUUCUUGGGGACGAAGAAAGUGACGGUACCCAAGGAAUAAGCCACGGCUAACUACGUGCCAGCAGCCGCGGUAAUACGUAGGUGGCAAGCGUUAUCCGGAUUUAUUGGGUGUAAAGGGCGUGUAAGCG
rnacentral:rRNA from 1 species